GAUGAACGAUGGCGGCGUGCCUAAUCCAUGCAAGUCGAGCGCACAGACGAGGAGCUUGCCCCUCUGACGUUAGCGGCGGACGGGUGAGUAACACGUGUAUAACCUACCUAUAAGACUGGGAUAACUUCCUGAAACCGGAGCUAAUACCGGAUAAUAUAUUGAACCGGAUGGUUCACUUGUGAAUGACGGCUUUGCUGCCACUUACAGAUGGUUCCGCGCCGCAUUAGCUAGUUGGUAAGGUAACGCCUUAACAAGGCAACGAUGCGUAGCCGACCUGAGAGGGUGAUCGGCCACACUGGAACUGAGACACGGUCCAGACUCCUACGGGAGGCAGCAGUAGGGAAUCUUCCGCAAUGGGCGAAAGCCUGACGGAGCAACGCCGCGUGAGGGAUGAAGGUCUUCGGAUCGUAAAACUCUGUUAUUAGGGAAGAACAAAUGUGUAAGUAACUAUGCACGUCUUGACGGUACCGAAUCAGAAAGCCACGGCUAACUACGUG
rnacentral:rRNA from 1 species